UACGUAGGGUGCGAGCGUUAAUCGGAAUUACUGGGCGUAAAGCGUGCGCAGGCGGUUUUGUAAGCCAGAUGUGAAAUCCCCGGGCUCAACCUGGGAAUGGCAUUUGGGACUGCAAGGCUCGAGUGCGGCAGAGGAGACUGGAAUUCCUGGUGUAGCAGUGAAAUGCGCAGAUAUCAGGAGGAACACCAAUAGCGAAGGCAGCUCGCUGGGACGUUACUGACACUGAGGCGCGAAAGCGUGGGGAGCGAACAGG
rnacentral:rRNA from 1 species